rnacentral:tRNA from 1 species
GCCGCGAUAGCUCAGUUGGGAGAGCGUCAGACUGAAGCCCGCUUGUGGAGCAUAGACAUCUGAAGGUCGCUGGUUCAAUCCCGGCUCGCGGCA